UAAUAUCGACAAGAACAUCUCAGCCAAAGUUAACAAGGAUAAACUAUAUUAUCAUUUGAUGCACCUACCUGACUAGACUGUUAAAGUGUCUUUUAUAAGCACAUCCCUUUUCAGAUUGGGAUGACAUCAGAACUUGUGAACAUCUCAGAAUAUCCAGAAGCAGAGGAAAAGUAAUCUUAGUUGAAGAUUGAAAGAAUGUAGAAAGGAGCUUCUUGUAGAGCCUUUACAGUGUGAUUUCGACUUUGUAAGAAUAUUUGGUGCUCAUCAUGGAAUCGAUAUACGCUCCAGGAAGAAAAACUUAUGGUUUCUAUAAGAAGCAAGAUGACCAACGAAAAAGAAGUCGCUAACAACUCAAGCAAAAUGGCCCUACUACUAGAUAUGAAGAAGGAGUUUGUUGAAUUCAAAAAGAAGAGUGCAAAGGUGAUGAUGCGUUAAGAGAGGAGGAAAACGCGAGAAUAAAGAGAAAGACGGAAGAGGUGGAACAUAAAAAAAAGCAAAACCAUCACUACCCCCAACACAAAACACAACAUUUUGCCCUCCACCUAUGCCUAAGAUAGUGGAGCAAAACAGUUAUGCCACGAAUGAGCGAACAGGUGACACCACCAAUACUUUCACAACCCAUAGGAGAAGUUAUAGACAUUCCUUUAUCGAUAGGAUAAUGGACACCCC
rnacentral:lncRNA from 1 species